rnacentral:lncRNA from 1 species
UAAAAUAUCAAAACAGCCCUCAACUAAAUAUUUUAUAUUAUUUUCAAAUCUUUAUUCUAUUUAUCAAUAAAAUAAAUCUCAUAUCAUAAUCAAAUCCUCCAAAACUCAUAACUUAUCACGUCAUCAAUCAAAUCAUCAAAACAUACCAAAAUCAUGCAUAUAUUAUAUAAUUAUAAUAUAAUCACCUAAACUCGAUUAAAUAAACGAUUAAACGAAAGUGGGCGUUACA